UGGGGAAUCUUGCGCAAUGGGCGGAAGCCUGACGCAGCAACGCCGCGUGCGGGAGGAAGGCCUUCGGGUUGUAAACCGCUUUCAGGAGGGACGAAGCCACCUGGGUUAAUAGCCCAAGGGGUGACGGUACCUCCAGAAGAAGCCCCGGCUAACUACGUGCCAGCAGCCGCGGUAAUACGUAGGGGGCGAGCGUUGUCCGGAAUCAUUGGGCGUAAAGAGCGUGUAGGCGGCUUGGCAAGUCUUGCGUGAAAUCCUGCGGCUCAACCGCAGGCGGUCGCAGGAAACUGCCUCGCUAGAGUCCGGAAGAGGAGAGUGGAAUUCCUGGUGUAGCGGUGGAAUGCGCAGAUAUCAGGAAGAACACCCGUGGCGAAGGCGGCUCUCUGGGACGGUACUGACGCUGAGACGCGAAAGCGUGGGGAGCGAACAGGAUUAGAUACCCCCGUAGUCC
rnacentral:rRNA from 1 species